GGGUUGUGAGGUUAAGCGACUAAGCGUACACGGUGGAUGCCCUGGCAGUCAGAGGCGAUGAAGGACGUGCUAAUCUGCGAUAAGCGCCGGUAAGGUGAUAUGAACCGUUAUAACCGGCGAUUUCCGAAUGGGGAAACCCAGUGUGACUCGUCACACUAUCAUUAACUGAAUCCAUAGGUUAAUGAGGCGAACCGGGGGAACUGAAACAUCUAAGUACCCCGAGGAAAAGAAAUCAACCGAGAUUCCCCCAGUAGCGGCGAGCGAACGGGGAGGAGCCCAGAGCCUGAAUCAGCAUGUGUGUUAGUGGAAGCGUCUGGAAAGGCGCGCGAUACAGGGUGACAGCCCCGUACACAAAAGCGCAUGUG
rnacentral:rRNA from 3 species